GACGAACGCUGGCGGCGUGCUUAACACAUGCAAGUCGAACGGAAAGGCCCUGCUUUUGUGGGGUGCUCGAGUGGCGAACGGGUGAGUAACACGUGAGUAACCUGCCCUUGACUUUGGGAUAACUUCAGGAAACUGGGGCUAAUACCGGAUAGGAGCUCCUGCUGCAUGGUGGGGGUUGGAAAGUUUCGGCGGUUGGGGAUGGACUCGCGGCUUAUCAGCUUGUUGGUGGGGUAGUGGCUUACCAAGGCUUUGACGGGUAGCCGGCCUGGGAGGGGGACCGGCCACAUUGGGACGGAGAUACGGCCCAGACUCCAAAGGGAGGCAGCAGUGGGGAAUAUUGCACAAUGGGCGGAAGCCUGAUGCAGCAACGCCGCGUGCGGGAUGACGGCCUUCGGGUUGUAAACCGCUUUCGCCUGUGACGAAGCGUGAGUGACGGUAAUGGGUAAAGAAGCACCGGCUAACUACGUG
rnacentral:rRNA from 1 species